AGCAGUCGCCCGGGAAUACAGAGGGUGCGAGCGUUAAUCGGAUUUACUGGGCGUAAAGCGUGCGUAGGCGGCUUUUUAAGUCGGAUGUGAAAUCCCUGAGCUUAACUUAGGAAUUGCAUUCGAUACUGGGAAGCUAGAGUAUGGGAGAGGAUGGUAGAAUUCCAGGUGUAGCGGUGAAAUGCGUAGAGAUCUGGAGGAAUACCGAUGGCGAAGGCAGCCAUCUGGCCUAAUACUGACGCUGAGGUACGAAAGCAUGGGGAGCAAACAGGAUUAGAUACCCCUGUAGUCCCUGUCUCUUAUACA
rnacentral:rRNA from 1 species